rnacentral:tRNA from 2 species
UGUAAUAUAAUAUAACUAGUAUGAUUCAUUUACACUGAAUAUGUCAGACAUUGUCUGUUUUACUU